rnacentral:rRNA from 1 species
ACGAGGAGCUUGCUCCUCUGACGUUAGCGGCGGACGGGUGAGUAACACGUGGAUAACCUACCUAUAAGACUGGGAUAACUUCGGGAAACCGGAGCUAAUACCGGAUAAUAUAUUGAACCGCAUGGUUCAAUAGUGAAAGACGGUUUUGCUGUCACUUAUAGAUGGAUCCGCGCCGCAUUAGCUAGUUGGUAAGGUAACGGCUUACCAAGGCAACGAUGCGUACCCGACCUGAGAGGGUGAUCGGCCACACUGGAACUGAAACACGGUCCAAACUCCUACGGGAGGCAGCAGUAGGGAAUCUUCCGCAAUGGGCGAAAGCCUGACGGAGCAACGCCGCGUGAGUGAUGAAGGUCUUCGGAUCGUAAAACUCUGUUAUUAGGGAAGAACAAAUGUGUAAGUAACUAUGCACGUCUUGACGGUACCUAAUCAAAAAGCCACGGCUAACUACGUGCCAGCAGCCGCGGUAAUACGUAGGUGGCAAGCGUUAUCCGGAAUUAUUGGGCGUAAAGCGCGCGUAGGCGGUUUUUUAAGUCUGAUGUGAAAGCCCACGGCUCAACCGUGGAGGGUCAUUGGAAACUGGAAAACUUGAGUGCAAAAGAGGAAAGUGGAAUUCCAUGUGUAGCGGUGAAAUGCGCAGAGAUUGGAGGAACACAGUGGCGAAGGCGACUUUCUGGUCUGUAACUGACGC